GCAUUAUUAAGUACUUUGCUUUUUCAAGAAAAAAAAUGCAGUUGAGAGUACUCAAGUGGGAGUAAUGAAAUCAGAGUUUGUUCCUGGCUCUGCCACUGAUUUACUGUGGUUAAGUGAACAUUUUUUUCACCUCUCUGAGCCUCGGUUUCCUUAUCUAUAAAACUAAAGGGCUGGACUACGUGACUUUUACCAUACUUUUCAGAUUCUACAACUCAAGAGAGGCUGUGUUGAGUGCUGAGACCCUGAAGCCAAACUGCUAGAGCUCAAAACCAAAUAUAUGCCUUCUAGCUGUGUGAACCCAGGCAGGUCAUCCCGUCUCUGGGCCUCAUCUCUUCGUUGUAAAAUAUGUCAAGAACAGCAACAACAAAAAUGACAACAAAAAAGCCAAAGAUCAUAAGAAGAUGCUCAAAGGGUGAAGAGGAAGGAAAUCAGAAGACAAGCCUCUGUUCUUCAUUACUUCCUGGGUCACGAAGGGCUCCCUCACUCUCCACCUCCCGCCCAAGAGUGCCCAUUUCCACGCCCAGAAACAGCAAUGGAGGUGCUAGGACCCAGCAAGUUUCAGAAUUCAUCUUCUCCCAUAAAACUAUGGCUCUUAGUUCUGGAGCAGAUAAAAAUAAAGGCAGAUGACGAAGCCCACAAACGUUUCCCCCACACUCUUUUCCUUAUAUUGGUGGAGUGAAGGUAUGGGGCAGUCCAAUCCAUCUUCAGAACCUUCCAAGGGAAGCUCCUACAACUAUCACAGAAUACCAGAUGUGACUGAUUCACAGGUGUUAGCCUCAGAAAAUUCUGCCUGAAUAACCUACCGAGACACAAGUCCCUGUUUUACAAAACGUGAAUGCACAGAGCCUACAGCCGUCCUUGACCCUCUGCAAAGCUGAAACUCAGAGAGGUGAAGCUACUUUCGAUGGAGCUGUAAAAGAUUUCAGCCUCUCCUAGUGGGAUCUUUGAACAUCACUGCCUCUGAGUUCCAGGAUUGCCCCUGCUAUCAUCUCUGCAUAUUUUAAACAUCCAAGUGAAUCAUCUGUCUAGGCAACCCACAACAAACAUUCAUUGAAAUGGUUAAGACUUGCAUGCUAUUCAGAUAGCUGUGGUAUGUUUAAAAGAUAUUAGAUAUUAGGCUACUUUGUAAGUUUUGCAAAUUCCUCUGUCAUUUUUGUUUGUAAAGAGAAUAAAGAUUUUUGGUUUUGCUUUUGCUUUUUAUUU
rnacentral:lncRNA from 1 species